rnacentral:tRNA from 1 species
GAGGGUAUAGCACAGUGGUAGAGAGCAUGCUUAGCAUGCAUGAGGGCCUGGGUUCCAUCCCCAAUAUCUCCA